rnacentral:rRNA from 1 species
UACGAAGGGGGCUAGCGUUGCUCGGAAUCACUGGGCGUAAAGCGCACGUAGGCGGAUCUUUAAGUCAGGGGUGAAAUCCUGGAGCUCAACUCCAGAACUGCCUUUGAUACUGGGGAUCUCGAGUCCGGAAGAGGUGAGUGGAACUCCGAGUGUAGAGGUGAAAUUCGUAGAUAUUCGGAAGAACACCAGUGGCGAAGGCGGCUCACUGGUCCGGUACUGACGCUGAGGUGCGAAAGCGUGGGGAGCGAACCGG